rnacentral:pre_miRNA from 12 species
UUCUUGUUCACAACCAAACUCUGCUUGUCCUUCUGAGUGUGAUUACGUCCAUGGAGUAGCUCAGGAGGCAAACAGGGUUACCCUGUGGGUAGGUCUGAAAA